rnacentral:rRNA from 1 species
UACGUAGGUGGCAAGCGUUGUCCGGAAUUAUUGGGCGUAAAGCGCGCGCAGGCGGUCCUUUAAGUCUGAUGUGAAAGCCCACGGCUCAACCGUGGAGGGUCAUUGGAAACUGGGGGACUUGAGUACAGAAGAGAAGAGUGGAAUUCCACGUGUAGCGGUGAAAUGCGUAGAGAUGUGGAGGAACACCAGUGGCGAAGGCGACUCACUGGCCCGGUACUGACGCUGAGGUGCGAAAGCGUGGGGAGCAAACAGG